UACGGAGGGGGCUAGCGUUGUUCGGAAUUACUGGGCGUAAAGCGCACGUAGGCGGCUUUGUAAGUUAGAGGUGAAAGCCCAGGGCUUAACCUUGGAAUUACCUUUAAGACUGCAUCGCUAGAAUCGUGGAGAGGUAAGUGGAAUUCCGAGUGUAGAGGUGAAAUUCGUAGAUAUUCGGAAGAACACCAGUGGCGAAGGCGACUUACUGGACACGUAUUGACGCUGAGGUGCGAAAGCGUGGGGAGCAAACAGG
rnacentral:rRNA from 1 species